UCAGUGGUGGUUCAGUGGUAUAAUUCUCGCCUUCCAACUGGGAGACCAAGGUUCGAUUCCUGGCCAAUGCA
rnacentral:tRNA from 1 species